AAUUCGAUUAUAUCUUGAACAAAUAAUCGAUAGAAAAUAGAAAAAGAACAAAAACGUUCGCAGUCAGCAGGAUUCGAACCUACGCGGGCAAAGCCCAAUUGAUUUCUAGUCAAUCUCCUUAACCACUCGGACAUGACUGCACAUCUGAAG
ensembl:ncRNA K11H3.11 ncRNA